rnacentral:rRNA from 1 species
CACGUAGGGGCCAAGCGUUGUCCGGAUUUAUUGGACGUAAAGAGCUCGUAGGCGGUUUGUCGCGUCUGCUGUGAAAACUCAGGGCUUAACUCUGAGCUUGCAGUGGGUACGGGCAGACUAGAGUGCGGUAGGGGAGACUGGAAUUCCUGGUGUAGCGGUGAAAUGCGCAGAUAUCAGGAGGAACACCGGUGGCGAAGGCGCCACUCUGGGCCGAAACUGACGCUGAGGAGCGAAAGCAUGGGUAGCAAACAGG